CUCCGCCUAGUCAUUGAUGUUGUUGUUUUUGUCGCAGGAGGCGGAGGCGAGGCCGCGGCCUGGGGCUGCAGCAGCGGGGCUCGGGCCGGCGCCAGGCAUGGCGGUGUGCGGGGAGGCGGUGGGCGCCGGCUCCCUGCCCAGCGAGCUGGUGGUUCACAUCUUCUCGUUCCUGGCGGGCCCGGACCGGCUGCGGGCUUCGGCCGCCUGCUCGCACUGGCGGGAGUGCCUCUUCUACCCGGCCCUGUGGCCCCGGCUGCGCCUCAGCCUCCGCGUGGCCCCCGCCGAGCGGCCGCGCCUCGACUUCCUCAUGCGCAAGUGCGGCUGGUUCGUGCGGGAGCUGCGCGUCCAGUUCGCCGCCGACAACUACCCCGGCGGCGGCGGCGGCGCCGGCGGGGUCUGCGAGGGGGCGGCGGCCGCGGCCGAGGGGGAGACGCCGCUCUGCCCCCGCUGGCUGGACCUGCUGAGGACCUACCUGGAGUUGGUGCUGUGCGUGCUGAGCAGCGUCCGCAAUAACAGGAACCUCCAGAAGUUAAGUCUUUUUGGGGAUAUAAGCAUUCUGCAACAACAUGGAAGUAUAUCGAAUACAUACCUCAGCAAGGUGGACCCAGAUGGCAAAAAGAUUAAGCAAAUACAACAGCUAUUUGAAGAAAUAUUGGGCAAUAGCAGGCAACUGAAGUGGCUGUCUUGUGGGUUUAUGCUGCAAAUAGUUACUCCCACAUCAUUGUCAUCUUUAUCAAACCCCAUUGCCAACACCAUGGAACACCUGAGUUUGCUGGACAACCACAUCCCUGGUAAUACCACUCUUAUCACUGCAGUUGAAUUGGAGCGCUUUGUGAAUCUGCGCUCACUCGCCUUGGAUUUCUGUGAUUUUACAGCUGAAAUGGCAAGAGUCCUGGCUGAUAGCAACCAUGUGCCUUUGCAUCGACUCUCUCUUCUGGUCCACAAAAUUUCCAUAAUGCACAAGUCCUUGGAAAAUAUGCCAGAAGAUGAGAAUUGGAAGGCACUGACACGCAACAGCACUAAUCUUCGGGUCUAUAUUAUGGCUUUUGAUAUCAAGAGUGAUGACAUGCUAAGAAUUCUUAAGCCCAGUAUCCCACUAGAGAGGAUUCACUUUGACAGCUACAUCACUUGUGUUUCAGGGGCUGUUGUUGACCUCAUAUCCAGGCAGUAUGACAAGUUUCUCACUCAUUUUAUAUUAAUGAAUGAUGUGAUAGAUAUGUCUGGUUUCCCAGAUCUUAGUGACGACCGUAAUGAAGAUCCACUGGUUUUGUUAGCGUGGAGGUGCACAAGGCUCUCUCUCCUAGCAGUUCAUGGUUACACAGUGUGGGCCCAUAACCUCAUUGCAAUCGCUCGUCUUCGUGGCUCUGAUUUGAAAGUGCUUGAAGUCACAGAAGAAAGCAUUGAUUUCGACCAAGGUGAACUGGCUGAUCAGGAUGUGGAUCCAGUACAUAACCUCAUUGAGCAGGUUAUUAAAGAGCUCCUGGUGGAGCCAUGUUGGCCUCUUACUAUUCUUCCUAUGUUUCCUUUGCAUGAGAAUAGUUCGCAGAUGUGCCUUUUAAUAUUGUCUCCUUGAGGAACUGCCAGCUCUCCUGAAUUCCUUUUUCCCUUAGAUUUUCUUCUCAUGGGACCUUACUUACCAGUUCUGUGUUUGUUAAAGAUGUAUACAGGAGCUUAAGGUUAGGUGCUUUUGAAAAUCUUACUCGUGGGAGGAUUGACUUCAAACCCUGAUGGAGGCGCGAAGAGCAAGCACUGCUCUUCGCAUGCAGAGUUUUCCUGUGCAGAGGAGACAAUAGCUGGACUGUUUUCAAUGUUACUCUAGUACACCUUCAGAACAGGUGACUCAAAUUAAAAAUACUUAAUUUAAAAUAUGACUACUGUACAAUGGAAACUAUUUAAUUUAUCCUUAUUUACAAAACACUAUCCUGAGAAUCAUUCUAUUAAGCUUCAAUUUGAGCAAAGUAUUUAUAUAGAAUCCCUUAAGUAACAGCAGUUACUUAACUGAAGAUGAUUUUACAGGUAUAGAAAGAGUACAUCAGGUUAAUUCCUAAGAUGUCAGACAACAGCAUCAGGUGUCUUGCUGUGGCUCUGGAUGUCCUGUAGCUGGAGUAUUUGAUUGAUGAAUUAAUGCAGGAGGCUCACUCCUAUUUUCAAGUGAAGGCAGAGGAGGCAGAAAAGAUCCAGUUCUUUGUGGUGGAUAUUGAGAAAAAGGCCUCACUGGAAAUGGAUUUCUCACUGUUUAAUAGAUAUUUAUAAAGUAUUUAGUUACAUUUUUAAAGCUUCAUUAUCCAAAAUAUAUAGACUUAGUGCUGGAUAUCCUUUUCUCACUAUGCCAAUCAGUCUUUUAGCAGUUUAAUAAUUUACAGUGACCUGUGUCUGUAAGCAAGCAAAGGGCACGAUGCCAGAAAACACAAGACUUGUACUAGGUGUUAAGAAAUUCCCAGUGCUACAGUCUAGGUUGGGAAGAGAUGUGGAAGAUGCACCAAACCAUGUUACACCUCUCAAUGGUAUCCAAUUACAGGGUACUGCAAUGUAAUGAGGGUGAAUGUAGGUAUGUAUGUGCCACUGCCAUCUCAAGUAGUCAUAUGGCACUUGAGGUAUGGCAUUCUGCAAGGUUCGCCUUUUGCUCCUGGAGGAGAAAGACUUGGAUUAUAUCCACUGAUUCUAUCAAGGGGACAUGAAGUGUGAUGGCUGUUGGCAGAUCAUUAAGAUGUCUUUCCGCUGCCCGGGCUGUCAGCUUUAGGAAAAAAACCUACUCAAUUAAAUGUUUCAUAACUAGUACACCUCCUGGAUUUCCAGGUACCAACAUCAAGAAUGUCAACAUUAUUCUAGGAACUGCUUUAAUCAAUUAACUGAUCAGCAGAACCUUCUAAAGCAGUGGUUCUCAACCAGGGUCCGGGGCUCGCUGGGGUGGCCACGAGCAGGUUUCAGGGGGUCCACCAAGCAGGACCAGUCUUAGACUUGCUGGGGCCCACAGCAGAAAUCCAGAGUCCCACUGCAUGGGGCUGAAGCAGAAGCCUGAGCAACUUAGCUCACAGUGCCCCCGACGCCAUGGGGCCCCAGGUAAUUUCCCAGCUUGCUACCCCUUAAAGCCGGCCCUGGCUUUUAUAUGCAGUUAUUGUGGCCCAGGUGGGCCAUGGAGUUUUUAUAGCAUGUUGUGGGGGGCCUCAGAAAGAAAAAAGGUUGAGAACCCCAUUCUUAAGUCAUCAAAUUGUGCUCAAAAAGUCACCAACUUCCAAGGGGAGUAAAGGCUGAAGAAUCAUGCCAUACUUUGGGAACCUCAAAGACAAACUAUCCGACCUACCCUGCUUUGCAAACAAAAUGGAGUGACCUAUUAUAAGAAUACAAAAUUUUAGAUUCUACACACUGAUGGAAGAAGAGAGCCUGCCACUAGGCACUUGAGUGCCAUGUGUAUUUAUCAUAUUUCACACACACACACACACACACUUCAUUUGUAUAAGCUAGGUUAACUAUAAAAAGCAUGGACAUUUUUUUGUGGGGGGGGGAACACUAUGACAGAAUAUAUUCUGUAACAAUGCAUUAUAAUAAGUAAAUUUACUAAGUCUCUUGUGGAUUUUGUAAACUGUAGAGAAAACACCAAACAGUAAAUAAAAAUUUGUUAAAAUACCUGUAACUGUUUAGUUCUUCUGCAGCAUGAUUAAUUUUCUCAUCUACUUUAGAGAGUUUUUCUUCUUUCUGUAACCGCUCUCUCUCUUCUACUGUUAGUUUCCUUUAAACACACAGACAGUAUGAUUAGCUGUACCUCAAAUAAUAAUUUUGCAGUUAUUCUCUCAGCAAAGAGAUUAUUUAGUGCGAUAUUCACCCACAGGAGCAGAAAGAGGUUGUGGUGUGUAAGUAUAGUGUUUUUAAAUUUGUUUACAUAGCUCAUUAGCCAUUAAUUAUUAAAAUCUGGAACAGUAAAAGUAAUACCAGGACUAUCACUGCACUCAAAUUAACUCUGAUGCACAUAAGGCAGCUCUGCAGAACAUUCAGCCCACCGGCUAGAAUAGGAACCAUUAACCAUUCUCCCCUACACAUGGGUUCUUGGCCACUAGGCUGCAUAAAUGUGGAACUACUAGUCAUGCCCUAGCCUCUCCCCAAAUUCACGUAUAUAGUGCGCUAUGCAAACCAAUGACUGAUGCAUAUUUAAUUAUUUUGUUCUGAGAAAUGUCAGUAUAGUUUGCAAUUGUCACCAUCCUAUUUCACUACUGAAUGACUGUCCUAGCCAACUGAUAGGGUUAAACACAUAAUAGGUCUGUUGAAGUUUCAAAAGUGACUUAAGUGCCUUUGAAAAUUUUACUAUUCCCUCUUCUCUAAACAAAAGCCCAGUUUAUCCAUAAUUACAACAUUUUUAAAAUGUAUUGUACUUCUCAGGAUGUUAGUUUUUGCCUGCCCAAAGUUGUGUCAGCCAUAAGUAAAUACAGGAACCUCAGAGUUACAAAACCCUCAGGAAUGGAGGUUAUUCGUAACUCUGAAACAUUCAUAAAACUGAACAAAACAUAUGGUUGUUCUUUCAAAAGUUUACAACUGAACACUGAUUUUAAUACAGCUUUGAAACUUUAUUAUGCAGAAGAAAAAUGCUGCUUUUCCUUUAUUUUUUAGUAGUUUAUGUUUAACAGUACUAUACUAAAUUUGGUGGGGGGUUGUUUGGUUUUUUUCGUCUCUGCUGCUGCCGCCCGAUUGUGUGUUUCCAGUUCCAAAUGAGGUGUGUGGUUGACUGGUCAGUUCGUAACUCUGAGGUUCUACUGUAAAGGUUAGCUCUUUAACCAGCUGAAAUAGGCUAUAACUGUCUAAUUGGUACAACACACUUUUGCACACAAGCACAUUUAAAAAUAAAUACCCCUCACCUGUUCCCAUAAACAGUUACAGUGAUAAAUACACAAGAGGUAUACAGUCCCUUCUUAUACAAGCAUUUCAAGAUUAGUAUCAUGGACUUUCCCAAUAUAUUUCAUCCAUCACUUCAAAAAAUAAAUAAAUAAAUAAAAUAAAUAAUCACAUCCAAAUCUAAAAACAAAGAUGUAAAAAUCUAUUUGUUUAUUCAGCUACAUAUCAGUUUACCACAAAUGCUCAGGUUUUCAUAUGUAUACUGUACUUUCAGCCAAAUUAUAAGGAAUCUGGUUGAUAUAAACUACAGUUAUGACAAUUAUCUUUCAAAUUGUAAAUUUGUUGAUACAUUUAAACUGAAAAGUCAAAAUGACUUCCCAAUCUUCCCUUAAUCAAUCAUUAAAUGCUUAAUGUAAAAACAUAGCGGUAUCAGUACCUGUGUAAUUUCAUUUCAUUUUCUUGAUAUAGCUCUGUCAUUACUUUAAGCUUUUGUUGAAGCUUUUGAAGUUCACUUUCAAAAUGUGCAUUUUCAGACUGCAAGGAGACUUGCUCACGCUGGAGGUUUUCAAUGCGUUCUGUCAAAGUUAGAGACAGAUGAAUAACGUGCACACUUUAUGAAGUUAAAACAAAAUCAAAACAUUUUAGAAAGUAAAAAACAUUGCAAGUCAAGGACUUUAAAGUUUUAUUAAUGAAGGCCUGUUUGCCAUUUGGGAAGUAACGUAGGGAAACAUCUCCCUACAGUCCAUAGAAUACGAUUUAGUUUUUUGCAUUGUGGUAUAUAUCCACAGACUGCACAAUUGAGAAACAGUACUGCUUACUGGUCUUAGUACAGGACAGGGAGUCAGGAGUUCUGAAUACUUCUUCCAGAUUUAACACAUACUUGAUAUGACUUUGGCUUAGUUACUUAAGCUCUGUUUCCCCAUCUGUGGUUGGAAUGGCUCAGAAAGUCAGAACUUUUCUCUGGAGGAUGCCAUUUUGAGAUCCAUAGUCUAAAUUUUUAGGUUUUCUAUUAUUAUUAUUUGUUUAAGUGUGCUCAAGAUGACAAGCAGCAUGAACAGUAGUUCACAGAAGUGUAGAAACACCCCAUUCAUCCCAGUUGGGGUUAACCCUGAAGCAUCAUGAUAGUUAACAACAUGGAGCAAGGAGAUAAUAAGGAGAUUGACAUUUAAAUUUAUUCAGUUGCAAACCGUGCUUCCUUUCAAUAUAUUUAAGCCUCUGAAGUUCAAAGGCCCGAAUGGGGAAAAAGGCUACAGUCAGUCUAGAAGGACAUCUAUUUGAUGGGUCAGCAUAGGAGACCCUUAAAAGUUGUCAGGGGAAAAACUGCUGCAUUAGAGGACAGAAUAAUCCAAAAGGCCACCAGGCAUAUGGCAUUUUAAAUUGAGUCCAAUUUUCUGCUGAUAGUGUUGUUAUUUAGGUUAAAGGCAUUGGCUAAUUAGAUGCAAGAUGUAUAAAGUUGCACUAAUUUUAUUUUAAAAAUAUAUUUCCUUAGAAUGAAACCUUUGUAGAUUUUGUCCAAAGGAAAAGAGGCGACCAUGUACUUUCCAGGCAAGAGUAUUUUUAGAAGAAAGUAAUGUUGUAUUCCAACUAAAUAUAAUGAACUAAUCGCUUAUAUUAUAUAAUGAACUUUAUUAGAAAUGAGUUUCACAAUUAAACAUCCCAAUGAAAGCCAUUAGACAAAUUUUCAAUAGCAAUAUUGAAAAAAGAUUUUCAGUAUAUUUAUUUUUAGUGGAAACUGUUGCAUUUCCAACAGUGAACUGGGAUAACAAAUUAAAAAUGGCAUAUCAGCAGUCUAUAUUAUUGCUGUAGUUUUAGCCACUUAAUCUUUUAAGACCAAAUUUUUAGAACUGGUUAAGUCACUUCAAUUCAAAUUUAAUGGAUUUUUAGCUAUUACUAUAAACUUAAUAUUUUUUCCACAAAAACUGAAUGAAUAAGCCAGAGUUAUUUAAGGACAUGAAUAGCUUCUCUUAUUUAAAAAUAUCAGUUAUUUUUAAAACAAAAUAAUCUAAUUACCUGUAAGUUCUUCUUUAGCUUUAUCUUCAUCUGCCAGUUUUAAAUAUACUUGAUUUCUUUCUACUUCCAGGGUUUUUAAACAAGCAUUUAACUAUAUUAAAAUAAAAAAGGAAUUAAGUGUGAGAACAUUACUGCAGGAAAAAGACUCAAUUCUACUUGACUGCAUUUCUCAGAUAAUACAAUACUAAAGUCAGAAUGUUAUGUUAUGGCUGUAACGUUAAUUGAUUACUGCUUGGAAGUGCAAUCAGCUAAUACCCUAUUUCAGAAGGACAGGGCAGGUUGUAUUCAUUCUAGACCCUGGCAAAGAAAAGUGUCAAUUAAGAUUGUUUAAGUAUGGUAAAAAAUAUUUAGAAAAAACAGACACCCUGAACUUUGUUUACGUUGAUACAAUUAUAUAUGUCCAUUAAAGUACAUGCCAUCAUGUUGUUACAUCUA